rnacentral:rRNA from 1 species
CCUACGGGCGGCAGCAGUGGGGAAUAUUGCACAAUGGGCGCAAGCCUGAUGCAGCCAUGCCGCGUGUGUGAAGAAGGCCUUCGGGUUGUAAAGCACUUUCAGCGGGGAGGAAGGCGUUAAGGUUAAUAACCUUGGCGAUUGACGUUACCCGCAGAAGAAGCACCGGCUAACUCCGUGCCAGCAGCCGCGGUAAUACGGAGGGUGCAAGCGUUAAUCGGAGUUACUGGGGGUAAAGCGCACGCACGCGGUCGAAAUCCCCGGGCUCAACCUGGGAACUGCAUUCGAAACUGGCAGGCUAGAGUCUUGUAGAGGGGGGUAGAAUUCCAGGUGUAGCGGUGAAAUGCGUAGAGAUCUGGAGGAAUACCGGUGGCGAAGGCGGCCCCCUGGACAAAGACUGACGCUCAGGUGCGAAAGCGUGGGGAGCAAACAGGAUUAGAUACCCUAGUAGUC